rnacentral:rRNA from 1 species
AGAGUUUGAUCAUGGCUCAGAACGUACGCUGGCGGCACGCCUAAUACAUGCAAGUCGAACGAAGUAGCAAUACUUAGUGGCAGACGGGUGAGUAACAUGUAGGUAUCUACCCUUUGGCCUGGAAUAACACGAGGAAACUUGUGCUAAUACCGGAUAAGUCUUUACGGAGAAAGCUUUAUGCACCAUUGGAUGAGCCUGCACUUGAUUAGUUUGUUGGUGGGGUAAUGGCCUACCAAGACAAUGAUCAAUAGCUGAUUUGAGAGGAUGAUCAGCCACAUUGGGACUGAGACACGGCCCAAACUCCUACGGGAGGCAGCAGUAGGGAAUCUUGCACAAUGGAGGAAACUCUGAUGCAGCGAUGCCGCGUGAGUGAAGAAGGCCUUUGGGUUGUAAAGCUCUUUCGUCGGGGAAGAAAAUGACUGUACCCGAAUAAGAAGGUCCGGCUAACUUCGUGCCAGCAGCCGCGGUAAUACGAAGGGACCUAGCGUAGUUCGGAAUUACUGGGCUUAAAGAGUUCGUAGGUGGUUAAAAAAGUUGGUGGUGAAAUCCCAGAGCUUAACUCUGGAACUGCCAUCAAAACUUUUUAGCUAGAGUAUGAUAGAGGAAAGCAGAAUUUCUAGUGUAGAGGUGAAAUUCGUAGAUAUUAGAAAGAAUACCGAUUGCGAAGGCAGCUUUCUGGAUCAUUACUGA